AGGACGAACGCUGGCGGCGUGCUUAACACAUGCAAGUCGAGCGGAAAGGCCCUUCGGGGUACUCGAGCGGCGAACGGGUGAGUAACACGUGAGCAACCUGCCCUUAGCUUCGGGAUAGCUCCGGGAAACCGGAAUUAAUACCGGAUAUGACUAUGGCCGACAUCAGCCAUGGUGGAAAGUUUUUCGGCUAGGGAUGGACUCGCGGCCUAUCAGCUAGUUGGUGAGGUAACGGCUCACCAAGGCGACGACGGGUAGCCGGCCUGAGAGGGCGACCGGCCACACUGGGACUGAGACACGGCCCAGACUCCUACGGGAGGCAGCAGUGGGGAAUAUUGCGCAAUGGGCGAAAGCCUGACGCAGCGACGCCGCGUGGGGAUGAAUGCUUCGGGUUGUAACCCCUUUCAGCAGGGACGAAGCGAAGUGACGGUACUGCAGAAGAAGCGCCGGCUAACUACGCGCCAGCAGCCGC
rnacentral:rRNA from 1 species